rnacentral:rRNA from 1 species
AGAGUUUGAUCCUGGCUCAGGAUGAACGCUGGCGGCGUGCCUAAUACAUGCAAGUCGAGCGAGGGUAGCAAUACCCUAGCGGCGAACGGGUGAGUAACACGUAGGUAACCUACCUCCAAGUCUGGGAUACCCGAGGGAAACCUCGGCUAAUACCGGAUACGUCCUUUAGGGGCAUCCCCGAAGGAUAAAAGCGGCUUCACAGCCGCGCUCGAAGAUGGGCCUGCGUCGCAUUAGCUAGUUGGUGAGUUAACAGCUUACCAAGGCGACGAUGCGUAGCCGACCUGAGAGGGUGAUCGGCCACAAUGGAACUGAGACACGGUCCAUACUCCUACGGGAGGCAGCAGUAGGGAGUUUUCGGCAAUGGGGGCAACCCUGACCGAGCAACGCCGCGUGAGUGAUGAAGGUCUUCGGAUUGUAAAGCUCUGUUACAGAGGACGAAUGAUCAGGCGAGGAAAUGCGCCUGGUUUGACGGUACUUUGUCAGAAAGCCACGGCUAACUAUGUGCCAGCAGCCGCGGUAAUACAUAGGUGGCAAGCGUUAUCCGGAAUUAUUGGGCGUAAAGAGUGAGUAGGCGGUCGUUUAAGUCUGAAGUCAAAUCCAGUGGCUCAACCACUGUCCGCUUUGGAUACUGGACGACUAGAGUACGAGAGAGGUAUGUGGAAUUCCAUGUGUAGCGGUGAAAUGCGUAGAUAUAUGGAGGAACACCAGUGGCGAAGGCGACAUACUGGCUCGUAACUGACGCUCAGUCACGAAAGCGUGGGUAGCAAAUAGGAUUAGAUACCCUAGUAGUCCACGCUGUAAACUAUGAGAGCUAGGUGUUGGGGAAACUCAGUGCCGAAGCUAACGCAUUAAGCUCUCCGCCUGGGUAGUACGCUCGCAAGAGUGAAACUUAAAGGAAUUGACGGGACCCCGCACAAGCAGUGGAGCAUGUGGUUUAAUUCGACGCUACGCGAAGAACCUUACCAGGGCUUGACAUCUGGCUAAAUACCCUAGAAAUAGGGGGAUAGUCAUAGCCAAGACAGGUGGUGCAUGGUUGUCGUCGGCUCGUGUCGUGAGAUGUUGGGUUAAGUCCCGCAACGAGCGCAACCCUCGUCCUUAGUUACCAUCAUUCAGUUGGGGACUCUAAGGAGACUGCCGAUGCAAAUCGGAGGAAGGUGGGGAUGACGUCAAAUCAUCAUGCCCUUUAUGUCCUGGGCGACACACGUGCUACAAUGGCCGGUACAAUGAGCAGCUAAGCAGCGAUGCCAAGCGAAUUUCAAAAAGCCGGUCUCAGUUCAGAUCGGAGUCUGCAACUCGACUCCGUGAAGGCGGAAUUGCUAGUAAUCGCGAAUCAGCCAUGUCGCGGUGAAUACGUUCCCGGGGUUUGUACACACUGCCCGUCAAACCAUGAGAGCUGGUAAUACUCGAAGUCGGUAUCCUAACCCGCAAGGGAGGGAGCCGCCUAAGGUAGGACUGGUGAUUGGGGUUAAGUCGUAACAAGGUAACC